GGUGGUGUGGCUCAGUGGUGGAGUACUUGCCUUGCACAUGUGAGGCACUGGGUUCAAUCCCCAGCACCACAU
rnacentral:tRNA from 1 species